UGGAAGCACAAUAUACACGCGACUUUGUGCGCCAUCUAUGUCGGUAACACGGCAUUGCGUUAUUUGAUCUAUAUGGUAUGUCACUGUUACGUGUUCUAAAGUUGGUGAAAAAGAUUAUUUUAAUAUUACAAACCGAAACUGGAUGGGCACAAACUAUGAAUUAUAACGCAUUACAAUCCCAAUGGACUGAAGAGGCAUCAGUGAAUACAUUUCAUGUCAAAAUUCUGGAGCUUGCUGCCUAGGACUUCAGUGCACUCAGAAUGGUUUGUAGCCCUGCAUACUGACAACGAGGAGCCCUUGUAGCAAAGAUCUGAUAGGACUCCUUGCACGAUUGAUCGGCUCUUCGCAAAGCGCUUUCUACCUAUACAACACAGCCUUUGAGUGGGAUUGGGGGACUCAGGGUUCCAGUGUCUGAGAGAUCAAGGCUCGCGCCCCAGACUACGCUGGCCUCUGUGACCGGCGUCUGGUUUAGUAGUUACCCCAUUUCACUGCUCGAGUUGGUCUCCUGAUACUUCGAUCUGUCUGUUGCUUUCUCUGCAGAGUUGAAAACGUGAGAGUAAUGUCAAAAGCUCUACAUUUUAUUCACUAGUAUUACAGCUGUAUAGUAAACGGGUUAAUUAAGCACUGAUUUUAUGACGCGAAAGUAAAUGAACGUUGUAUGACGGGCACAUUGUGCUGUUUUGCCAUAGAACCAGGCGAUGCGUAUGCAUAGGCAUAUAGAAUACGUACAUUUACCGAUUUCUUUGUCAAAUUUACAUAGUUCAUAAACGAAUAAGCUUUUUGCAAAUUGUGGGUAUGUUUGUAUGUUAGCUUAUAGCUCGAGAAUCGAUUCACCGAUAUGCACCAAACUUGGAAUUAUCAUUCUUUGAAGCCAGAAAGAGAACAAUGGACAGUCAAAACUCCAGAAGUGUCCUGAGUUUGAUACCCGGUGAGGGCGGUUCCUAUAGCUAUGAAAUUAAGCACGACAGAUGAACGGCGUUAUAACCAUAAUUUGUCUGUUUCAAAACGUAUAAUACAGAAACAAGGACCACAACUAAGAAAACUAUCCUGGCUUCGAUUCCCGGUGAUGGUUUUUGUAUUUCGGAGACUAAACACGAUAGAAAAACUACGCCAAGACCAAUUUUUUUGUUUCGGCAAGGAAUAGCAGUAACAAAGGUCACAGCACCGAAAACUCUCAUAGGUUCGAAUCCCAAGGAAGACUUUUUCUGUAGCUAGGAAUCUAAGCACGAUAGAAUGAGAUGAAAAAAAAUUGUUUCGACGAAAACUUGCAGGGGUCUGAGACUCGGUGAAGAUGAUGAGUUAGGGAUAGUUUUUAUAUGAUACUUCACAAUACGUAUCGAAUGAUGAGGCACUGGUAGGCAUUCAGACAGUAAAGAAUGGUAUGGAAUGUUUGCGUUUGUCAAAUUUUCCCACGCCAUGAGACUGCAUCCCCGAGCAUAAAGCCGUCAUAUAGGCAUAUCGGAGGUUAACAGUGAAGGAGGGCCUGAAGAUCCUAAUGUUUGUAAAUUCCGAUGAUGCAAUUGUGAACUCGCAUUGCCGUUGUGGUGUUACACAAAGUGACUAGUUACGUUAUAGACAAUUUUCUUUGUGAUCGCGUCGGUGCGUUUGGUGUCUGUGAUGAACUUUGCCAGUGAUUUUCGUCAACGUUCCAGCGGCGUCCACCUGAUGCCAGAACAGGAGCUUCGGAUGAGGCAGGAGGAACGCGUGAACCGUCAGCUUUCAUGCCAACUAACCAGCAUUCGGUAACUGGAGAGCCAAAUGAUGAGUGCAGGAUAGAAGCAUAUCGGAAACGUCUGAGCCUGCACCCUGAGUAACAAUAAGCCUCAUUUGUGUGCAGAACAGCUCUUGUGUGUAUACGGGACAAUGCUGUUGGCUCGAGACGCGUGUGAAAUCGCUGCUCUCCGAGAUACCCACCCACCCACUGCUGCUUCAAACUUGGCUCGUGUACCGCCUCAAUGUCGCAAUUUGUGGUUUCACGUUACACCACAGUGGCUUUGUGCUUAUCAUAAAUACACAAAGUCACCUUCCAGAGCAAGUAUUACUGUUUGUGUUUCAGGUUCUGACGGCGGUGAAAAUGUCUUCUGGUUUUUAACGCCGCGAUGUCUUGUAGGUGCAUACCAUCGUUUCGGGAAAAAGAACCUGUCCCCGUCUUCAAGCCUAAAGACUCCACCCUGAAGACGGAGACAGUAUGACCUCUGAAACGUUGAUAUCUACCUGCAAAUCCACACGACGUUAUAACCCAGAAGUCCAAUAUCGAAAUAUUGUUUCAGCCUAUAUGUUCUUUGAAGGUUAAGCUGGAAAGCAGGCUUGGCCAAAAGAGUGGUACUUCGAUAAUUCAGUUCAAAGCAAGGUCCCUCAUCAACUUCUGCUUUUCAUUUAUACCUGCAACCACUCUAACCGAAAGAUAACCUAAGUACACAGAGUUUAGGUAUUCUGUCCAAAUUAAUUAAAUUAAUAUUACUAGUAUUUAUUUUGUCAUAGC